GCCCUCUGCGGCCCGCGGCCCGGCUGCAGCCCCAGCCCCCGGAGGUCCCCGCUCCGUGGCCCUGGGCAAGUGGCGAAGCCUCCUUGGGUUUCAGACAGCACCUGCCUCACGGGGUCCCCGCGGGGAUGAGCGGAGGCUACCGUGUGCUGAGCAUUUGCUGUGUCGCCGCACCAGCAGGCCGCGCCCGGCGCAGUGACCCGGCUGCUCCGACCUGGCGGCGGCGGCGGCGGCGGCGGGAGUGGGCCCCGCGCCCCAGCUCCCCAGACCCCGCCUGACGCCCCCAGCUCCUCGCGCGUGGCAGCGGCUGGGGCGCGGUUCCGGGCGUGCGGGCGCAUUUCCCUCGAAAUACUACUUCGUGCGCUACAAGAGCGAACGCAACCACGACUGAUUCACAGCCAACACGUGCGGAAACGGGUUCUCCCGGGGAACUGAGAGUGGAGACGGAGCCCCCUCCCCACUGUCCCCACCUCCACACUGUGGGGGAGGGACUGGGGGCGCGCCGGCCACCUCUGGGGCGGAGUGGCUGGGAAUAUAAGCUCCGGGAGCAUAAGGCCUGCGUCCGUCUUGCUCAAGCUUCUGUCACCACAGCCGGGACCAGGGCUGGGCACCCGGCGGAAACCCGGGUGACGCUUGCUGCCCGAGGGAAACAGGUCAUAAAAAUACAAAGAACCUGGGAAAUUGUCACAGCCCAGAGGAGCAUGAGGAGACACGACAUCUUAAAUGUACUGUGCUGUCUGGAUGGGGCCCUGGAACAGCGGACAUUGGGUAACACUGAGGAAAUCUGAAGAAGGUGUGGACUUAGUUAAUCCUCGUGGAUUGACACAGGGGCCUGGGCUGACAGUGUGGCACCCUAAUGUAAGAUGUCAACAACAGGGAAACAGGCGGGAGGGAGGCUGUGAGAACUCUUAAUAUACAUUAUCUUUGGAAUUUUUCUGUCAGCCUCAAAUGGUUUGAAAAAUAAAGUUUAUUUUUUAAAAAGUCA